GACGAACGCUGGCGGCGUGCUUAACACAUGCAAGUCGAACGGAAAGGCCCUGCUUUUGUGGGGUGCUCGAGUGGCGAACGGGUGAGUAACACGCGAGUAACCUGCCCUUGACUUUGGGAUAACUUCAGGAAACUGGGGCUAAUACCGGAUAGGAGCUCCUGCAGCAUGGUGGGCGUUGGAAAGAUUCGGCGGUUCGGGAUGGACUCGCGGCUUAUCAGCUUGUUGGUGGGGUAGUGGAUUACCAAGGCUUUGACGGGUAGCCGGCCUGGGAGGGUGACCAGCGACAAUGGGACUAAGGGACGGACCAGACUGCAACGGGAGGCAGCAGUGGGAAGUCUUACGGAGUGGGGGGAAGCCUGAGACAGCGGCGCCGCGUGCGGGAUGACGGCCUUCGGGUUGUAAACCGCUUUGGCCGGAGACGAACAGUGAGUGACGGUAAUGGGUCAGAAAGCAACGGCUAACUACGUG
rnacentral:rRNA from 1 species